UCGGUCACUGCACAUCUGUUAUUCAGUUCACUCACAGACAGCAAACCAAGGGGUUGUGCUGUCUCCUUGUCUCCCAGGGAUAAACCCACAUGACAGUUUACAAAAACAGGUAAUCAUAAGAAGCAAAUGGCCCAGAUGAAACACAGCAAAAGAAUGAGAAGUGGUAACACUGGGAGUGAAAUUUGAACCAAGCGUAAAUGGAGUGAUCGUAGAAAUAGCUGACUGUGGAAUGUGGACACUCUCUGUAUCUGCAGCCUGGGAAGCUUAAAGAAGGUGAACUUACUGACACCAGUUAGAAAGUGACUGUGAUGAAACGAUGAAGAUGCUCCAGAGGAAGUGACACCAGCAAUAGGAAAAAAAAAACAAACCUCUCACUGAAGGAACUCUCGGAGAUAUUUCAUGACACAGAAGGCACAAAGGAUACAAUAUUGGCAACUAAUCGAAACUUAGAAAUGAUAUGACAGCUCACCAAGGCAUAGAAAAAGAUGCUUGCUCUAUCAUAAGUUAUAGAAUGAGAAGAAGCAGUAUAUCAGAAAACUCAAAUAUAACUCCACAACUUUUUCAAGAGUUUCUUUUUGUUUUCCAAUGGUAACGGGAGAGAAAAUAAGCUGUCAUUAUCGGAAUGAUCAAACACAGAGAGAAAAGAGGCAGAGGUGUGAUCCAGAGAACAUGCCUUUCACUGUGAAAACCAGCACCUUCAAGGCCAGGCGCAGUGGCUUGCGCCUAUAAUCCCAGCAUAUUGGGAGGCCGAGGUGGGUGGAUCACCUGAGGUCAGGAGUUCAAGACCAACCUGACCAACAUGGUCUACUAAAAAUACAAAAAUUAGCCCGGCAUGGUGGCGGGCGCCUAUAAUCCCAGGUACUCGGGAGGCUGAGACAUGAGAAUAGCUUGAACCAGGGAGGCGGAGGUUGCAGUGAGACGAGAUCACACCAUUGCACUCCAGCCUGGGCAACAGAGCAAGACUCCAUCUCAAAAACAAACAAACAAACAAACAAAAACACCACACAAAACCAGCACCUUCCACAGUGUCUAGCAUACGUUAGUCACCAAAACAGGUUUGCUAAAUGAACAAAUGAAUGAAUGGCAUUUUAUGUGUCAGUAAAUAUGCUUCAAAAUCAUGAUGUAUGAUGAGUAAGCAACUCUAUCAAAUAAAUAUAACGUAAUUUGCUGUGAGCACAUAAUUUGCUGUGUUCUAGUAUUGAACAGUUGGACUAUUUCCAUAUUUUAAUUUUUACUAUUAUGUUUGAGGAUGAUAUAUAAAUCUU
rnacentral:lncRNA from 10 species